AAUGAAACUGUUGGGUCAUAUUGAUAAUUUUUUGAGGAAACUCCAUAUUGUUUUCCAUAAUGGCUAAACUAAUUUACAUUUCUAUCAACAGU
rnacentral:pre_miRNA from 1 species